UAUACCAUAAACCCUAAACUCCA
rnacentral:siRNA from 1 species